ensembl:snRNA U1 U1 spliceosomal RNA
AUACUUAACCUGGCAGGGAGAACACCAUGAUACGGCAGUGGUUUUUCCAGGCGAGGAUCAUCCCCUGCACUCGGUGUGCUGACCCCUGCAUUUUCCCCACAAAUGCGGGAAACUCGACUGCAUAAUUUGUGGUAGUGGGGGACUGCGUUCGCGCUCUCCCCUG